rnacentral:rRNA from 1 species
GGACAACCCGCCGAAAGGCGGGCUAAACCCGCGUACAUGCCACCGGGGCAUCCCGGAGGCAGGAAAGGCUUCGGCCGGACAGGGAUGGGCAUGCGGCGCAUUAGGCAGUAGGCGGGGUAACGGCCCACCUAACCGACGAUGCGUAGGGGUUCUGAGAGGAAGGUCCCCCACACUGGUACUGAGACACGGACCAGACUCCUACGGGAGGCAGCAGUGAGGAAUAUUGGUCAAUGGUCGGGAGACUGAACCAGCCAAGCCGCGUGAGGGAGGAAGGUACAGAGUAUCGUAAACCUCUUUUGUCAGGGAACAAAGACUGGGACGCGUCCCCGGAUGAGUGUACCUGAAGAAAAAGCAUCGGCUAACUCCGUGCCAGCAGCCGCGGUAAUACGGAGGAUGCGAGCGUUAUCCGGAUUUAUUGGGUUUAAAGGGUGCGCAGGCGGUCUGUUAAGUCAGCGGUCAAAGCCCGGGGCUCAACCCCGGCCCGCCGUUGAAACUGGCAGUCUCGAGUUGGAGAGAAGUAUGCGGAAUGCGCGGUGUAGCGGUGAAAUGCAUAGAUAUCGCGCAGAACUCCGAUUGCGAAGGCAGCAUGCCGGCUCCACACUGACGCUGAGGCACGAAAGCGUGGGUAUCGAACAGGAUUAGAUACCCUGGUAGUCCACGCAGUAAACGAUGAAUGCUGGCUGUCCGGGGGGACUGACCCCUGGGU